rnacentral:rRNA from 1 species
GACGAACGCUGGCGGCGUGCUUAACACAUGCAAGUCGAACGGUGAUGCUCCAGCUUGCUGGAGUGGAUCAGUGGCGAACGGGUGAGUAACACGUGAGCAACCUGCCCCAGACUCUGGAAUAAGCGCUGGAAACGGCGUCUAAUACUGGAUACGAAACUGGCCCGCAUGGGCAUGGUUUGGAAAGUUUUUCGGUUUGGGAUGGGCUCGCGGCCUAUCAGCUUGUUGGUGAGGUAAUGGCUCACCAAGGCGACGACGGGUAGCCGGCCUGAGAGGGCGACCGGCCACACUGGGACUGAGACACGGCCCAGACUCCUACGGGAGGCAGCAGUGGGGAAUAUUGCACAAUGGGCGAAAGCCUGAUGCAGCGACGCCGCGUGAGGGAUGACGGCCUUCGGGUUGUAAACCUCUUUCAGCAGGGAAGAAGCAAAAGUGACGGUACCUGCAGAAGAAGCACCGGCUAACUACGUG